rnacentral:rRNA from 1 species
CUUGAUCAAUUAUAAGAGGUCAAGCCUGCCCAGUGACAUUGUUCAACGGCCGCGGUAUCCUAACCGUGCGAAGGUAGCGUAAUCACUUGUCCUUUAAAUAAGGACUAGUAUGAACGGCUUCACGAAGGCUAUACUGUCUCCUUAAUCUAAUCAAUUAAACUAAUCUCCCCGUGAAGAAGCGGGGAUUCAUCUAUAAGACGAGAAGACCCUAUGGAGCUUUAAACAUCUAAGACACUUGAUUUUUACCUACUAAACUUCAUGCAACCUAUCCUUUUGUCUUAAGUUUUAGGUUGGGGUGACCACGGAGAAUAAUUAAACCUCCACGUAGAAAGAAAAUUCUUUUCUAAGCAAAAAGCCACAUCUUAACGCAUCAAUAUAUUGACUUAACUUGACCCAAUUUCUUGCUCAWCGAAC